rnacentral:rRNA from 2 species
AAUCCAUAGGUUAAUGAGGCGAACCGGGGGAACUGAAACAUCUAAGUACCCCGAGGAAAAGAAAUCAACCGAGAUUCCCCCAGUAGCGGCGAGCGAACGGGGAGGAGCCCAGAGCCUGAAUCAGCAUGUGUGUUAGUGGAAGCGUCUGGAAAGGCGCGCGAUACAGGGUGACAGCCCCGUACACAAAAGCGCAUGUGCUGUGAGCUCGAUGAGUAGGGCGGGACACGUGGUAUCCUGUCUGAAUAUGGGGGGACCAUCCUCCAAGGCUAAAUACUCCUGACUGACCGAUAGUGAACCAGUACCGUGAGGGAAAGGCGAAAAGAACCCCGGCGAGGGGAGUGAAAAAGAACCUGAAACCGUGUACGUACAAGCAGUGGGAGCCCCACCACCAAAGCAUUUGCUGUACCGCGUUGACGGAGCGAAGCGAC